rnacentral:rRNA from 1 species
UACGGAGGGGGCUAGCGUUGUUCGGAAUUACUGGGCGUAAAGCGCACGUAGGCGGCUUUGUAAGUUAGAGGUGAAAGCCCGGGGCUCAACUCCGGAAUUGCCUUUAAGACUGCAUCGCUAGAAUUGUGGAGAGGUAAGUGGAAUUCCGAGUGUAGAGGUGAAAUUCGUAGAUAUUCGGAAGAACACCAGUGGCGAAGGCGACUUACUGGACACGUAUUGACGCUGAGGAGCGAAAGCGUGGGGAGCGAACAGG